rnacentral:rRNA from 1 species
GCUCAGACGAACGCUGGCGGCGUGCCUAAUACAUGCAAGUCGAGCGGAUCUUGUCCUUCGGGACAAGGUUAGCGGCGGACGGGUGAGUAACACGUGGGUAACCUGCCUGUAAGACUGGGAUAACAUUCGGAAACGAAUGCUAAUACCGGAUACGCAGCUUGGUCGCAUGACCGAGCUGGGAAAGAUGGAGCAAUCUAUCACUUAUAGAUGGACCCGCGGCGCAUUAGCUAGUUGGUGAGGUAACGGCUCACCAAGGCGACGAUGCGUAGCCGACCUGAGAGGGUGAUCGGCCACACUGGGACUGAGACACGGCCCAGACUCCUACGGGAGGCAGCAGUAGGGAAUCUUCCGCAAUGGACGAAAGUCUGACGGAGCAACGCCGCGUGAGUGAUGAAGGUUUUCGGAUCGUAAAGCUCUGUUGCCAGGGAAGAAUGCUUGGGAGAGUAACUGCUCCCAAGGUGACGGUACCUGAGAAGAAAGCCCCGGCUAA